rnacentral:rRNA from 1 species
UACGGAGGAUGCGAGCGUUAUCCGGAUUUAUUGGGUUUAAAGGGUGCGUAGGCGGCCUUGUAAGUCAGCGGUGAAAUUUUGCAGCUUAACUGUAAAAGUGCCGUUGAUACUGUGAGGCUAGGAUUUGGUUGCUGUGCGUGGAAUGUGUGGUGUAGCGGUGAAAUGCUUAGAGAUCACACAGAAUAUCGAUUGCGAAGGCAGCUCACAAAGCCAAGAUUGACGCUGAGGCACGAAAGUGUGGGGAUCAAACA